CUUCAAUUCUCAAAAGAAAAAGUUCUUCUGUUGCUAUAUGUGGUUCAACGAGUAAGUCACGUUGACCCUUCCUCGUGACCCAAUGAUUUAAUCACAUGGAUCAUGCGACGCUGGAAAAGGCAGUUAAAGCUUCAACUUUCAAAAUUUACCACAAAAUUCAUCCUUCCAUCCACUUGGUUUAUUAUUUCGGUUAGAUUGAAAUUCAGAAAUUUUUUGAAGGACAAAUGGUGUGCGAUUAUUUUGGUUUUGUUUUUCUUUACCAAAUCUAUCUUGAUGAAGUGACAAGCAUUCGAGGUGUGCUAAAGGAUUUAUAAUUGGAAUGAUUGAAUUCUUGUGCUGAAGAUGAACUUUAGAUAGAGAAAACAUUGGAGGGGGGAUGGUUUUUGUUCUCGGACUCGAAAGUGAAUGAUUUGAAAGGACGGUGAUGGAAAUUCUUGGUGGUGGUGGUGGUGGAGGAGGAGGAGGAGGGAAGGAUUAAGACAGCGCGAUGGUUGAUCAUCAAGUAUUCUGGAUGUUGAUAGCCGACCCGGGAUUGAUUUGUGGAAAUUAACUGAUACCUGUACCAGCAUGUAAAAUGAAGAACGUCCUGGGAAACGCUGAGGCAGAGGAAAUAGAAAGGGACACCGGGAUUAAGAUUUUAUUUAUUUAUGCUCGGAUUGUAGAACAAAAAAAGAAUGCGCUGAACAUUUGAAGAGCAAUGUUUGCAACCAUUGGAGCAAAGGAAGAGGCCAGCUGAAGCAGAGAAUCCCUAAAAGAUAACUUGAAGUACUGGGGAGGGAUCGAGGCUGAACUUCCAAGAUUAAGGUGUUUACCAAUCUUCAUUAUUAUGGACUCGAACCAACUCUGACUCAAGGAAGAUUUGGAUGAAGAGCAGGGAAGAUGUGUGAAAACUAUGAGGGUUUCUUUUGUGCUCCUUCGGAGGCUUGACCUUUUUGUUUAAAUGUGAUCGAUCACAAAGUACAGAGUCAUGUAAUUCGAUCAAAGUAAAUGUGAUCCCGUGUAAAGUGGAUUUAUGUGAUGUCCAAUUGGUGAAAUGUUGAAGAAUUUGAUGGGCGAUUGGCUUGUUUGAUACUAA